rnacentral:rRNA from 1 species
CCCAUCAGAAGGGGAUAACGCUUGGAAACAGGUGCUAAUACCGUAUAACAAUCAAAACCGCAUGGUUUUGAUUUGAAAGGCGCUUUCGGGUGUCGCUGAUGGAUGGACCCGCGGUGCAUUAGCUAGUUGGUGAGGUAACGGCUCACCAAGGCCACGAUGCAUAGCCGACCUGAGAGGGUGAUCGGCCACAUUGGGACUGAGACACGGCCCAAACUCCUACGGGAGGCAGCAGUAGGGAAUCUUCGGCAAUGGACGAAAGUCUGACCGAGCAACGCCGCGUGAGUGAAGAAGGUUUUCGGAUCGUAAAACUCUGUUGUUAGAGAAGAACAAGGAUGAGAGUAACUGUUCAUCCCUUGACGGUAUCUAACCAGAAAGCCACGGCUAACUACGUGCCAGCAGCCGCGGUAAUACGUAGGUGGCAAGCGUUGUCCGGAUUUAUUGGGCGUAAAGCGAGCGCAGGCGGUUUCUUAAGUCUGAUGUGAAAGCCCCCGGCUCAACCGGGGAGGGUCAUUGGAAACUGGGAGACUUGAGUGCAGAAGAGGAGAGUGGAAUUCCAUGUGUAGCGGUGAAAUGCGUAGAUAUAUGGAGGAACACCAGUGGCGAAGG